ensembl:lncRNA
CUCAGCUGCUGCAGGCAUUGGAGGGGCUGCCUAAAGCCUGCUCUGCCACCUAAUGGGCAGCGAGGAGCUAUCAGUGCAUCCUCCCAGCCCAUCUGUAUCCCUACCUGCAGCAUGAAGAGGCAGCUGGGAGGAACCACAGCCUGGAGCAGCGGGUACAAGACCUGGAGCAGAGAUACAACGAGGCCAGCACCCUGCAGCACAUCCAGGCCACGCUGCUCUACGACAUGCAGGCACAGAUCAACAACAUCUCCGUGCUGACCGACUGGGUCUGGCGUAACCCCACCUGCCUCAACCCCGCUGAGAUGAGGCUACAGGAGGAGAUGGAGCGGCCAGAUAUGAGGCAUGUCAGGAACUGCCCCAUUGACUGUGCUUCUGUUUACUACAAUGGGCUCCGGCGAUCUGGGAUCUACAGCAUCAUGCCCUCUGUGGGAGGGAUGCCCAUUGAAGUGUUGUGUGAAAUGGACACCGAAGGUACUGUAUCUACACCAUCUUCCAGCAAUGAUCUGUGUGAGGGUCUGCCUAACCUGAGAGUUGUAUCUUACCUGAGAGCUGUUUAGGGGUUAUAUUGCAGUCAGAGAGAGCAGCAUCUCCACAACAGCUCAGCCACUCUAGUGGUGAAAUAAGGGAUUUGGAUGAAUAGUUCUAACCAGAUAUUAUGGCUCUCCCACAGAUAUUUUUGUGCAUGAGGCCUCCCAGGCCCUUGAUUAUCUAAUUAUCUAUACACAACAUAUCACUGUCAUCCCUAGGCACGAACUUACUCACAAAAUUAGUUUAAAAUACACACAUUUUGUAAGAUUACUGUCAUUUGACAGGGAAAUGGGGUAGAUGGUCGGUUCCUUGCCCCAUAAAUCUGCUCUAGAUAGGAUGGAUGUAUCACAUAAUCAUGUCCCAUGCUGGAAUGUCACAAUGGGAGGGAUUUGGCUGCCCACAUGUAGGCAACUUGCUUAUGGGGAACAUUAGCUCGAAGGAUCUUCAGGUGAUGGCAACUCUGGCAUACGAAUGCUCCUGAAGAAGCAGACUGCUCUGACAUUGUGAUCUCUAUUAUGUCAUUACAAUUAUUUGCAUGACCAUUGCCACAGCCUUGGACACCACAGAGUGACAGCCUGUACGAACAGCAAACAAAAACAUGGCCCCAAUCCCUUCCUAAAUCUUACAGUAGUGGAAUGAAAUGAGAGAGGGAUUUGGACAGAUGGGAGAGCAGAUGGAGACAGUGAGACAAUACUGUAAGAGGGCUCAUGUGCCUCUAUGGUGAUUUGGGAACAGUACGUAAUAAUCUCCAUACUUCAGGAGACACCUACAGAUGGGUCCUCAAAGAUGUCACUGUGUGCUGGCAUUGGGAACCACAGGCAUUCCCCUUUUGUUUUCUUUCCUGGCAGGUGGGGGCUGGACAGUCAUCCAGAAGCGUCAGGAUGGCUCAGUUGACUUCAAUAGGACCUGGAAUGAGUAUAGGGAAGGCUUUGGGGACCUGAAUGGUGAAUUCUGGCUGGGCAAUGAGAACAUCCACAAGAUAACGAGUCAGGGAGACUACUCUCUGCGUAUCGACCUGGAGGACUGGAAUAACAAACACAAGCAUGCCUUCUACCAGAUCUUCAGGUAGGCUUUCCCUGGUUCUUGGCAGAUACAAAUGGUUCUAUGGCAGAAGGCAGUGAAUGACAGGAGGCAUCCUUUCUUAAGCAAGGGUGACCAGGUGGCUGUCCUGGACAAAAUACUUCCUUCUCUCAGCUGGAAAUGGUUGUGGGUGACUAUUGAGUAACCUGCCAUGGGAGGGUGUUCAAGGCAGCACGGAACAUUUGAAGCCUGCUUAGAUUAGACACCAGAAUAGCUGAAUCUAGUUAAAAACAAAACAAAACAUUGCCUGAAAGUGCCUUGGAGCAUCCUCUGCCAUCAAACACGUGCUCUGAAUGGUCACCCUGACCUUUCUCAUUAAAUGCCUUGUGCAAUGGCAGUGACCUUCAACCCUUGCUAGCACAGGGCUAAUAACUAAUUGUCCCAGUAUUGGUGAAGAUGCUUGCUUUGCGGAGGGGAGGCAGUACUGUGUAAUUAGGGAACUGCCUUGCCAAAGCUGCUGAAGCCCUUUAUUGUGGUUUUAGAGUCACAGUCUGCCCAGCUCAGACCUAUAAGAGUUGCCCUGAGUCACAUCCCACAGAAUGGAGAAAUAUGAUGUCUUUGGCUUUUAGAGGCGAUGAAUCACAGCAGGGAUCACAGCCAGAGCAGCUCAGUGAUUGCUAGUUGUCCCCAUCAGGAAUGCAGGCUUUGCACUCCCCACCUGCAUCCUUUGCUUGCAGCAUUGAGGACGAGGCCAACUCUUACCGCCUGCACGUGGAUGGGUUCAGCGGGACAGUGGAAGAUUCCUUUGCCUGGUACCACAACAAGAGGAGCUUCAGCACGCCUGACUCAGGGAACAUCUGCGCUGAGAUCUCCCAUGGGGGCUGGUGGUACCACCAGUGCUUCUUCUCCAACCUCAACGGGGUGUACUACAAGGUGAGGCACAGGGGGGGCGAGGAGACAGGUAUUAGCACACAAAGUGCUUUUUCAGUGCCAUAGGCCAGACACAAACAUUAAGACACCGCGGCUUGGGACCGCAUGAUGGAAACUGGCGGUGCGGGUGAUUCAUGCGACCUGAGUUGCCAUCUCCAUUGGGAGCAUUUGAAAAAUGUUGAGCUUUACGUGCUCUUGUCACUGCGUGGCUGUUAAGCUCUUUGCUCAGUGUUUCAGAGCAAUCUUUUUUCUUAUGCUUCCAUCCGGAUGACACUUCUAUGCAUUUCUCAUGCCCGACCAUCUCUCUCUUUCUGUGCGUCCCAGGGUGGCCGAUACUCCAUUAAGAACCGCAAGAUCCUCGGGCCGGAUGGUGUUGUGUGGUACUCAUGGAAGGACACAGACUACUACUCCCUAAGGAAGGUCGUCAUGAUGAUUCGGCCUCGCACUUUCCGGCCCCACAUCUCCCCAUGAAGGAGCCGUGGGCAUUCUUCAAUCCACCUAAGAGUGAAUGCUGGGAACAGGAGGCUGGAAAUAGCUUGUUAAGAGGAAAAACUGGAGACCCCCAAGGAACCGAGCUACCAUCCUUCCUGAACUGAACCAACAGCAGAAGUGUCAAGGCCUUCAGCAAGUGACUGGGGGAUAAAAGCUCUUCCGACACCAUGGAGGUGGGUGAUGAGAGUGGCUUUGCAGAGAUGAGCGUGGAGCUUGCUGGUUCUCCAGGUAGCAGCAGUCCUUGAUGUGCUUGGACUUCCUCAGGGCCUGAGCCCAAAUCUGGACACUGGUUUUGUCUGGGUGAUGGGAGCUUGCAUUGAAUGGAGAUGCUGAGUACUCUGGAUGCAAAUCCAGCAGUAAUUUCAGGCCAGGAAUCUCAUGGCCGUUUUCCACAUGGGACGUGAUUGAUCGGUUCUUUCUCUGUAGAAGAUGAGCAUCACUCUGGGCAUGGCUGUUUCUGUGUUCAGGUAGCCAUGUAUGUAUUUAGUACUGAAGAUCCACCACUAUCACAACAUGGACAUCCUAGGGUGGGUUAAAGGUGCUAAGACAGCCCUGAGGAUGUGGGGAAACCAACGUGUAUAACCCAGAGAUGGAUUUGUGGGAAAAACAGGAGGAUGGUUUGCAGUGGUCCUUGCUUCUGUAGCAGGGAUCGUUUAGCUGCAACAAUUACACUCCAAGUAAAAGGAUUUAAGAAUCUAAUUGUUGACCAUUUUCCCUUUUCCACUCUGUUUUCACCUUUCCAUCCUUUUGCUGGCAAAGAACUUCUGAUAAACUUUCUAUCCACCUCAGAAGUGGUCUGCAGGAAUGGUUAAGUAUGAUUUUAAGUCUUCUUUAACUGCCUUACUCUGGAUGAGGACUGUCACCGUUCUCUUAAUUUUUGUAGCCACCUUCCAAGCAUUCUAAAAAUGAGUAUCUCCAUGACAAUAAAACAAUAUGAUUUGUUGUUCCCUCUUAGUGG